rnacentral:rRNA from 1 species
GACGAACGCUGGCGGCGUGCUUAACACAUGCAAGUCGAACGGAAAGGCCUUUUCGGAGGUACUCGAGUGGCGAACGGGUGAGUAACACGUGGGUGAUCUGCCCUGCACUCUGGGAUAAGCCUGGGAAACUGGGUCUAAUACCGGAUAGGACCGCACUUUAGUGUGUGUGGUGGAAAGUUUUUUCGGUGUAGGAUGAGCCCGCGGCCUAUCAGCUUGUUGGUGGGGUAAUGGCCUACCAAGGCGGCGACGGGUAGCCGGACUGAGAGGUUGGUCGGCCACAUUGGGACUGAGAUACGGCCCAGACGCCUGCGGGAGGCAGCAGUGGGGAAUAUUGCACAAUGGGCGCAAGCCUGAUGCAGCGACGCCGCGUGGGGGAUGACGGCCUUCGGGUUGUAAACUCCGUUCGCCAGGGACGAAGCGUUUUGUGACGGUACCUGGAGAAGAAGCACCGGCUAACUACGUG